AUGGAGGACCCUAAAAAUAAUCAAACCUUAAAAAUAGAUCUAUCCCACACUUCUGCUUUCCCGCCAGCCAGCACCUGCUAUGACUGCCACUUUCUGCCCCAUCUUAGUGCUGUGCGGGCCACGCUGCAGGCUGCCCUCUGCCUGGAGAACUUCUCCUCCCAGGUCGUGGAAGAGCACAAUAAGCCAGAGGUGGAAGUCAGGAGUAGCAAAGAGCUCCUAUUGCUACCUGUUACCAUCAGCAGGAAUGAGAAGGAAAAGGUGCUAAUUGAAGGCUCUAUCAAUUCUGUGCGGGUCAGCAUUGCUGUGAAACAGGCUGAUGAGAUCCAGAAGAUUUUAUGCCCUAAGUUCAUGCGCUUCAAUGAUGAUGCGAGCAGAGGAUUUCUUUACCCGCAGAGGAUUUCUUUACCCUUCGAAGGAAACCAGUGGAGGGUUAUGACGUCAGCUUUCUGAUCACCAACUUCCACACAGAGCAGAUGUACAAACACAAGUUGAUGGACUUUGUGAUCCACUUCGUGGAGGAGACUGACAAAGAGAUCAGUGAGAUGAAGCUGUCAGUCAAUGCCCAAGCCCGCAUUGUGGCUGAAGAAUUUCCCAGGAAUUUUUAA